CUCUUUUUGAGAAUUCUUUUUAAAACAUUCCUUGGAAAAGCUGAAUAAAAUGAGCAAAAACUCACUACCAUCAUUCUCAUCAGAUCUGAGGUAG